ACGGAAGGCAGCAGUGGGGAAUAUUGCACAAUGGGCGAAAGCCUGAUGCAGCGACGCCGCGUGAGCGAAGAAGUAUUUCGGUAUGUAAAGCUCUAUCAGCAGGGAAGAUAAUGACGGUACCUGACUAAGAAGCACCGGCUAAAUACGUGCCAGCAGCCGCGGUAAUACGUAUGGUGCAAGCGUUAUCCGGAUUUACUGGGUGUAAAGGGGGCGCAGGCGGUACGGCAAGUCUGAUGUGAAAGCCCGGGGCUCAACCCCGGUACUGCAUUGGAAACUGUCGAACUAGAGUGUCGGAGGGGUAAGUGGAAUUCCUAGUGUAGCGGUGAAAUGCGUAGAUAUUAGGAGGAACACCAGUGGCGAAGGCGGCUUACUGGACGACAACUGACGCUGAGGCUCGAAAGCGUGGGGAGCAAACAGGAUUAGAUACCCUGGUA
rnacentral:rRNA from 1 species